rnacentral:rRNA from 1 species
CCUGGCUCAGGAUGAACGCUGGCGGUAUGCUUAACACAUGCAAGUCGAACGAAUGUUUUCGGACAUUAGUGGCGGACGGGUGAGUAACGCGUGAGAAUCUGCCUAUAGGUUGGGGACAACAGAUGGAAACGUCUGCUAAUACCCAAUGUGCCGAGAGGUAAAAGCUUUAGUGCCUGUAGAUGAGCUCGCGUCCGAUUAGCUAGUUGGUUAGGUAAAAGCUGACCAAGGCGACGAUCGGUAGCUGGUCUGAGAGGAUGAUCAGCCACACUGGGACUGAGACACGGCCCAGACUCCUACGGGAGGCAGCAGUGGGGAAUUUUCCGCAAUGGGCGAAAGCCUGACGGAGCAAUACCGCGUGCGGGACGAAGGCUUUUGGGUCGUAAACCGCUUUUGUUAGGGAAGAAGAACUGACGGUACCUAACGAAUCAGCAUCGGCUAACUCCGUGCCAGCAGCCGCGGUAAUACGGAGGAUGCAAGCGUUAUCCGGAAUUAUUGGGCGUAAAGCGUCCGCAGGUGGUUUAUCAAGUCUGCUGUUAAAUCGUGGGGCUUAACCCCAUAUAGGCAGUGGAAACUGAUAGACUAGAGUACGGUAGGGGUAGCGGGGAUUCCCAGUGCAGCGGUGAAAUGCGUAGAUAUUGGGAAGAACACCAGCGGCGAAGGCGCGCUACUGGGCCGAAACUGACACUCAUGGACGAAAGCUAGGGGAGCGAAAGGGAUUAGAUACCCCUGUAGUC